AUAAAUAUGUCGUAUAGGUCACUAGAGAUGACUCCGACUUACAUGCUAGCCAUGAUUGAUGAGAUAUGUAGCCAUGAUUGAUGAGAUAUGUGAUGAGAUAUGAAUAUGUCGUAUAGGUCACUAUAGGUGACUCCGACUUAGAUGCUAGCCAUGAUUCAUGAGAUAUGUGAUGAGAUAUGAAUAUGUCGUGUAGGUCACUAGAGGUGACUCCGACUUACAUGCUAGCCAUGAUUGAUGACAUAUGUGAUGAGAUAUGAAUAUGUCGUAUAGGUCCCUAGAGAUGACUCUGACUUACAUGCUAGCCAUGAUUGAUGAGAUAUGAAUAUGUCGUAUAGGUCACUAGAGGUGACUCCGACUUGCAUGCUA
rnacentral:lncRNA from 1 species